UGAGGCGUGGUGAGGGUAGACAGUAGUGCUCUGGUCUUACGUUACGGUGAACAUGGCUAGGUUAGACAUUGCAGUUCAUGACUUCACCCGCGGACGUCAGGAUAAGUAACUGGAUGAGCUCAGCAUACUGUACUGCCAUAAGAAAGGAGACGUUCAGCUUAGUCUGACAUCAGUCUCAUGUGAAACCAAGCUGGUGGCACAGUCACGAUCUCUCUUCUACACCUGGUGAACGUGAACCUCAAGCUAUGGCUGACAAGGAUUGUGAUCAAGAUUUCUGCAAAAACCUAAAGAAGUGUGCAGGAGCUGAAGGAGUGGUUGGCCGAAAAUUGCAAAGGAGAUAAGAACCAUGGAGCAAAGAGCUGCUCAAGAUAUCACGCUUGAGGAAUUUAAGCAAUUCUGGGAAGAGAAGCAAAGCAAGGGAUAUGCCUAAACAGAAUAUUUACUAUACUGACCAUCAAAAUGUGCAAAGGAAAAAAGAAAAAGGAAGAAAUAGAGAGUAAAAUGGCAGGCAGCACCUACACUGACAGCAGAAGCCACCUGCACCUCCACUGAAACCUGUUUACCUGAGUUUGAAAAUGGGUUUUGAAAGAUGUGUCCGUUCAAUAUGGUCUGAGA